rnacentral:rRNA from 1 species
GACGAACGCUGGCGGCGUGCUUAACACAUGCAAGUCGAACGGAAAGGCCCUUCGGGGUACUCGAGUGGCGAACGGGUGAGUAACACGUGGGUGAUCUGCCCUGCACUUUGGGAUAAGCCUGGGAAACUGGGUCUAAUACCGAAUAGGACCACGCGCUUCAUGGUGUGUGGUGGAAAGCUUUUGCGGUGUGGGAUGGGCCCGCGGCCUAUCAGCUUGUUGGUGGGGUAAUGGCCUACCAAGGCGACGACGGGUAGCCGGCCUGAGAGGGUGACCGGCCACACUGGGACUGAGAGACGGCCCAGACUCCUACGGGAGGCAGCAGUGGGGAAUAUUGCACAAUGGGCGCAAGCCUGAUGCAGCGACGCCGCGUGAGGGAUGACGGCCUUCGGGUUGUAAACCUCUUUCACCAGGGACGAAGCGUAAGUGACGGUACCUGGAGAAGAAGCACCGGCCAACUACGUG